GACAGAGGGUGCAAACGUUGUUCGGAAUUACUGGGCGUAAAGCGUGCGCAGGCGGCUUCUCAAGUCAGGGGUGAAAGCCCAGAGCUCAACUCUGGAAUUGCCUUUGAGACUGAGUGGCUUGAGUACGGGAGAGGUGAGUGGAAUUCCCAGUGUAGAGGUGAAAUUCGUAGAUAUUGGGAAGAACACCGGUGGCGAAGGCGGCUCACUGGCCCGUAACUGACGCUCAUGCACGACAGCGUGGGGAUCAAACAGG
rnacentral:rRNA from 1 species